rnacentral:tRNA from 1 species
GGUAAAAUGACUGAGAUUGAAUAGGUGAUAGAUUGUAAAUCUAUUGAGGAGAAAAGUUUUCUCUUUUACCA